UGGGGAAUUUUGGACAAUGGGCGCAAGCCUGAUCCAGCAAUGCCGCGUGCAGGAUGAAGGCCUUCGGGUUGUAAACUGCUUUUGUACGGAGCGAAAAGGUCUGCCCUAAUACGGUGGGCUCAUGACGGUACCGUAAGAAUAAGCACCGGCUAACUACGUGCCAGCAGCCGCGGUAAUACGUAGGGUGCGAGCGUUAAUCGGAAUUACUGGGCGUAAAGCGUGCGCAGGCGGUUAUAUAAGACAGAGGUGAAAUCCCCGGGCUCAACCUGGGAACUGCCUUUGUGACUGCAUAGCUAGAGUACGGUAGAGGGGGAUGGAAUUCCGCGUGUAGCAGUGAAAUGCGUAGAUAUGCGGAGGAACACCGAUGGCGAAGGCAAUCCCCUGGACCUGUACUGACGCUCAUGCACGAAAGCGUGGGGAGCGAACA
rnacentral:rRNA from 1 species